CCAAUCGCGUAUAUUAAAGUUGUUGCAGUUAAAAAGCUCGUAGUUGAAUUUUGGGUCUGGCCGGGCGGUCCGCCCUCCGGGUGAGUACUGUUCCGACGCCGGGCCUAUCCUUCUGGAGAGUCGGCAUGUCCUUUGUUGGGUGUGCCGGGGAACCAGGACCAUUACCUUGAAAAAAUUAGAGUGUUCAAAGCAGGCGUAUGCUCGGAUACAUUAGCAUGGAAUAAUGAAAUAGGACGCGUGGUGCUAUUUUGUUGGUUUCUAGAACCGCCGUAAUGAUUAAUAGGGAUAGUUGGGGGCAUUAGUAUUCAAUUGUCAGAGGUGAAAUUCUUGGAUUUAUUGAAGACUAACUUCUGCGAAAGCAUUUGCCAAGGAUGUUUUCAUUAAUCAAGAACGAAAGUUAGGGGAUCGAAGACGAUCAGAUACCGUCGUAGUCUUAACCAUAAACUAUGCCGACUAGGAAUCGGGCGAUGUUAUUCUCAUGACUCGCCCGGCGCCUUAUG
rnacentral:rRNA from 1 species